GAUGAAGAACGUAGCGAAAUGCGAUAAGUAAUGUGAAUUGCAGAAUUCAGUGAAUCAUCGAAUCUUUGAACGCACAUUGCGCCCGCCAGUAUUCUGGCGGGCAUGCCUGUUCGAGCGUCAUUCCAACCAUCAAGCCCCCGGCUUGUGUUGGGGACCUGCGGCUGCCGCAGGCCCUGAAAACCAGUGGCGGGCUCGCUGUCACACCGAGCGUAGUAGAUUUUCAUCUCGCUCAGGGCGUGCUGCGGGUUCCGGCCGUAAAAAGCCUUAUUUACCCAAGGUUGACCUCGGAUCAGGUAGGAAGACCCGCUGAACUUAAGCAUAUCAAUAAGCGGAGGA
rnacentral:misc_RNA from 1 species